rnacentral:rRNA from 1 species
GAAUUGUUCGCAAUGGGCGCAAGCCUGACGACGCAACGCCGCGUGGAGGAUGAAGAUCUUCGGGUCGUAAACUCCUUUCGAUCGAGACGAAUUCCUCAGGGGUGAACCAUCCCGGGGGGUGACGGUACCGAGAGAAGAAGCCCCGGCUCACCCCGUGCCAGCAGCCGCGGUAAUACGGGGGGGGCAAGCGUUGCUCGGAAUUACUGGGCGUAAAGGGCUCGUAGGCGGCCAACUAAGUCAGACGUGAAACCCCUCGGCUUAACCGGGGAACUGCGUCUGAUACUGGAUGGCUUGAGUUUGGGAGAGGGAUGCGGAAUUCCAGGUGUAGCGGUGAAAUGCGUAGAUAUCUGGAGGAACACCGGUGGCGAAGGCGGCAACCUGGACCAACACUGACGCUGAGGAGCGAAAGCCAGGGGAGCAAACGGG